UACGUAGGGGGCAAGCGUUGUCCGGAUUUAUUGGGCGUAGAGAGCGUGUAGGCGGCCAGAUAGGUCUGCUGUGAAGACUCGAGGCUCAACCUCGACAUGUCGGCAGAAACCAUUUGGCUAGAGUCCGGAAGAGGAGAGUGGAAUUCCUGGUGUAGCGGUGAAAUGCGCAGAUAUCAGGAGGAACACCGGUGGCGAAGGCGGAUCUCUGGGCCUUACCUGACGCUCAGGCACGAAAGCUAGGGGAGCGAACAGG
rnacentral:rRNA from 1 species